CUAUCCAAUCCUCUACACUAAAUUGGGACAAAAUUUGACAACUCCCAAAUUCCAAACCCUAAUUGCGAAAUCCUAAGCCCAUGAUGAUUUUACCGCCAAAAAGCAAAUGCUGUUCUCUCCCUCUUCAUCUCCAUCUCUCCUUCAAACCAUCUCCAACCAGAAAAACCGCCGCCCGAAUCCGCUUUCCCAUUCCCACAACACGAAAACUUUCCUUGUCUGGCUUCAAAGGUCGGAGUCUUAGAGUUUCUCCUCUUCUGAGCUCAUCAGCACCGCCAAAUGAUGAGACGGAUAGCGCCGAAGAGUUCAAAGUGGAACUUGGUCGGCUGCUGGCGCUUUUGCCGGAAGAUAUGCGGCGCAAGGUGAGCGAACAUCCCGAGCUACAUGACUUGAUUGAGGUGGUCAUGGACUUGGGCCGGAAGCCGCUGGCCCGCUUCCCGUCCGGGGAUUUCGUGCUGUCUGAUCACCCGAUUUCAAUGGAGGACAUUCUUCAUGCUACCGCUCAGGUUGGGGACUUUGCAGUUGAUAACCGAGCUGGAAUUAGCAGAACACUGCACCGUAUUAGCGCAAUUAGAAAUAGGAAAGGCGCAAUUAUUGGUUUAACUUGUCGGGUUGGUCGUGCGGUGUCGGGAAGUGCCAAUCUAUUGCGAGAUUUAGUUAAAGAUGGUGCUUCAUUGCUACUUAUCGGGCCUCCUGGGGUGGGGAAAACCACAAUUAUCAGGGACAUAGCCCGUAUGCUUGCAAAUGAGUAUGAGAUGCGCGUUAUGAUUGUUGACACCUCAAAUGAAAUUGGAGGUGAUGGAGAUAUUCCACACUCGGGAAUAGGCCAUGCUCGCAGGAUGCAAGUUCCGCACACUGAUGUUCAACAUAAGGUGUUGAUAGAAGCCGUUGAAAAUCAUAUGCCACAAGUAAUUGUGAUUGAUGAGAUUGGCACAAAGCUUGAAGCUGCAGCUGCUAGUACAAUUGCUCAACGUGGAAUUCAACUAGUUGCAACUGCUCAUGGAGUAACCAUUGAGAACUUAGUGAUGAAUCCUGCACUAGAGAUGCUUGUUGGAGGAGUGCAGAGUGUAACACUGGGCGAUGAAGAGGCAAGUAGGAGAGGAGUUCAAAAAAGUGUGUUGGAAAGAAAAGGGCCAUCAACUUUCACUUGUGGCGUGGAGAUAAUUUCUAAAUCAGAGUUACGAGUCCAUCGUAAUCUAGAAGCAACAGUAGAUGCUAUACUUGCAGGUCGCUACCCUAGAUUUGAGGUCCGAAAGUUGAAUAACGAAACAAAUGGAUUGGAGCCAAGUUUAUUCACUCCUGAUUUGUCUGAGAUUGAGACGAGCAGUGAAAGUUGGACUGAAGAUAUUUCUGAAAUGAUUGAUGAUUCAUCUUUCCAGGAUGCAUUUGCCUCAGAAGGGACUUCUUAUGAAGAUGAGGACCAUCUCUGUAUAUUUCUUUAUGGGAUAUCAGAGGCAAGCAUCAUGCAAGGGAUAAAGCAGUUGAAGAUAGACGAUACAAUCAAAUUUACUGACAACAUCAGUGAAGCAGAUGUGCUAAUAGCUUUGCAGUCCAAGCUCAAAAAGAAUUCUCGGCUACAAGCUGCUGCAAGAUCUCAGAGCCUUCCUACCUAUGUCAUCAAGACGAGCUCUUUGGCUCAGAUAAUGAGGACUAUUCAAUCUUUAAUGUCUGACUAUGCAGAUGGUUUUGAAUUUUAUGAAUCUGAUGCUAAGGCAAAUGACUCGGAGAAAAUUGAUGCUUUGGAGGAAGCAAGAAUUGCAGUUGAGCAAAGAGUAAUCCCAAAGGGAGAGCCUGUUGAUCUGCUUCCCCGCUCAUUAAAUAUAAUAUUGCUUCAGAAGGACCUCAUUCGUAAAUACAAUCUCAAAACAGAAAGAAUUGUUUCCGAGCUUGGUGUGCGGCUCAGGAUCCUUCCUUUACAGAGUACAGCCAACGAAGGCAGUUCACAAGAAAAAGAAGCCGGCGACUCUAGCGACUCUGAAAACUUUUAUGAGCUAAACAAUGAAACGAACGGGUCUGCAAUCACUGUCAACCGAUUACCUCUCCUUCCUGACUAAAUAUAGUUGGUUCAAAUCUCAUUUCCGUCUCAUCCCACAACAAAUAUCAUAGAAGCACAGGAGUAAGAGGAAUUGUCACAUCUAAACUAUUCACCGUACAAGAACAAGGUUGAUUGGAAUCCAUAUUAGCUUUCUUUUGAAUGUGCUCUUUUUGGCCAAUGCUACAAAACAUUUGAAGGAAUUGGGUAAGUAAGUUUCAUGGGGAGUUGGAGUUUUACUUGCACAUGAUGAAGAGAAGAUGUGGAUUUGCAAUCUGCAUAUAAGAAUUUUAUAAAUUACUAUGAAAUUUGGUAAAACAAGAUAGGUAUUUAUGGAUAUGAAAUUAAGUGAGUAUUUGUCUGUACAUGUAACGAACUUUUGGAUAGUUGUCAAAAUAUAUUUACUCGGUCUGUAUGGACUAUGGAACUUAAUUAAAUUUUGAUAAUGGAUAACUCCUUUGCUUAUUAUAUCUCCUAUAAAAACAAGCUAGCCUAGACAAUAAUUAUUUAAUUAGGAAAACAAAUGUACUAGUACUAGGAUAAACAUAAAGAAAAGAAUGGAUAACUCUUAAACCCACGUUGGCCAUUGAAGAUACUCGUAAGGUCAAAUAGCAAUGACCAAUAACACCACAUGUUUGUAUAAUUUAAUCAACCAUUGCCAUGUGUGUUAUUUUAUUUUGAGUUCAUUGCUAUUUCUUUUGAUAUAAAGGAAAUAUUCGAAGCCUGGCGUCGACUAUAUAUAAUUUGAACUAGAAAUCGUGAAAAAUCAGUCGAAAUUCCAGCCACAACGCUGAUCCAACUUUCGACUGAAAAAUCACGACACGGCCAAAGGUGAAAAUAAAAAAUAACGAAGCAAGAGGGCCCGGCCCGAUCAAGGAGCUAUUACCAAGUCUUUCAAAAUAAUUGAAAUGUUACCCCAAUACUAUCUAUCUAUUAUUUAUACGAACAAGAAUAUAUAUAUAUAUAUAUAUAGUACUACUCCUUUAUUAUUUGAUUGCAUGGCUUUGCCGACGUUAGCCCCCACUUUGAAUCACAAGUGGAAAUCCCUUCUUCCAAUUUGCCUCUUUCUCUUCUCCAUCACUCUCUAUAAAUACCCAUCUCUCCAACCUCCACAUUUCUACCUUCAUCUCUCAUACUAGUAUAUAUAUACAUACAACAUAUAUGGCAAGCCUAAGGUUCUGGGUGUGUUUGCUCUUGAUUUCUUUCACAUUCUCCGCGGCACACUCUCGCAUCCUCCCUCGCCCCGCCACACCACCGGAGAGACCGGCAUUGAUCGACAGCGCCAAAGAAGCGAUCAAGGAGAGCUUGAAGAGGAAAGAAACCGCGGAAAACUGGUACCACGUCAACCGGGUCAGCCCAGGCGGACCCGACCCCAAACAUCACUAACACCAUAUGAUCUGAUGAAUGUAUUUUGAGAGACACAGAGAGGCUUUUAGUUUCUUUUGUUUUUCAUUGAUUUCUCAUCAUUUUUCUUUUUUUUCUUUCCAUUUUCUGGUUGUUUAGUUUUAUUUAAGUAUAGUAGCAUGCAGUGGUCAUCACUUGGACUGUACUUUGUUAUAUUGUGAUGAAUUUAAUAUUUUAUGAGAUUUUGAACUA